rnacentral:lncRNA from 1 species
UUGAUUUCGAUGAACCACAAGCAACCCCCAGCGACCAGUUCCAAACAACAAAAAUACAAUGAAUGAGGAAAUGAAAACUAUACAAUUUUUGUGUUUCUGUAUUUCCAUUUUGAUUAUUAUUAUUUGAGAUUAGUAUAGGGCUAUACGGACUCGAACCGUAGACCUUCUCGGUAAAACAGAUCGAACUAAUUCUUAUAAAAAUGAUUCGAACUCUUUCAAAGACCCAACAUGCAUUUUUUUUUUUUUGCAUUGGGCUCUUUCAUUAACUGAUAGAAAUAUCAGUUAGUCUACCAUAUUUUUUUCUUGACAGAAAAAUAAGGAAAUGGCUCCAUGUGCUCUAAUUCAUUAUUUGGAUUCGGAUAUAGGAGCACUCCCAAAGUGUUUCAAAGAAGGGUUAUCUUGACGUAGGUCUGCUUAUGGCCUAGAUCAACCUAAACGAAAUGGAGUCUCUAUCAUCCUGAUUAAAGAAUCACAUAUGAAACUUCAUACGCCUUAAGGUUCAUAGAACGAAAAGAGAAUUUUUGAGGUCCUUAUACUCAUUAUGCCUAGCAUUGAAUAGACUAGGUAUUUACCUUAUCAAUCUUUCAAAUCGAUGAUGGAUUCUAUUUGGUUCCUAAAAGGGCACCCGAAUCGGACCGAUCCAUUUGUCAGGCUAUUGUUCUCUU